rnacentral:lncRNA from 10 species
CUGACAGUCGGCUUCAGGAAAUCGCCAUGAGGCUACAGAGAUAAAGAGAAGGCAUCAAACCUAGUAUGAGGGUAUCAGGGAAGGCUACCUGGAAGAGGUGGUGUUUCAGCUAAUGACAGAUGAGGUAGUCCUUGCAUGAUUUUGAACUCCUCUGCUUGGACAUUUAUGUCUAGAAUUUGAUAUGCUAUACCCUGAACAAGUGUGCUAAUUUUAGAAAACUGUAAAGAAGAAAACAGAAAACAGCCAUAAUCCCAUCUUUGCAUUGAUUUCAUUCUGGAUUAAUUUUAUCUCUAUUUUUAACUAUAUUAAUUGAUAACCUGUAUACGCAGUGUGUGUCUGGCUAGAAAAAUGUUUAUUUCUAAAAAGUAUUUAUAUAUUUAUAGGAAAUAAAGAUCUGAAUGGGGGAGAAAAGCCUAAAAAUAUUAACAGUGGUUAUCUUUGGAGGGGGGGAUUAUGGCUCAUUUUUCUCGUGUGUUUGUUGGUAAUCCGGACUGUCUACUUUCCCUCUCAUGAUUAUAUAUUAGUUUGUGUCAUUUAAAAAUGUCAUUUAGUCUGGGCAUGGUGGCUCAUCCUGUAAUCCCGACACUUUGGGAGGCCAAGGUGGAAGGUUUGCUUGAGGCCAAGAGUUUGAGGCCAG